rnacentral:rRNA from 1 species
GGGGCCCGCACAAGCGGUGGAGCAUGUGGUUUAAUUCGAUGCAACGCGAAGAACCUUACCUAGGCUUGACAUGUACGGAACCCUUUAGAGAUAGAGGGGUGCUCGAAAGAGAGCCGUAACACAGGUGCCGCAUGGCUGUCGUCAGCUCGUGUCGUGAGAUGUUGGGUUAAGUCCCGCAACGAGCGCAACCCUCGUCCUUAGUUGCCAGCAUUCAGUUGGGCACUCUAAGGAGACUGCCGGUGUUAAACCGGAGGAAGGCGGGGAUGACGUCAAGUCCUCAUGGCCCUUAUGUCCAGGGCUACACACGUGCUACAAUGGCCGGUACAAAGGGUAGCAAGACCGCGAGGUGGAGCCAAUCCCAAAAAGCCGGUCUCAGUUCGGAUUGGAGUCUGCAACUCGACUCCAUGAAGUUGGAAUCACUAGUAAUCGUGGAUCAGCAUGCCACGGUGAAUACGUUCCCGGGCCUU